UCGAGAACUCCUUAGCUUGCUAGGGAUAGUAAAGUGGCGCACGGGUGAGUAACGCGUGGGUAAUCUAGCUUCGAAUCUGGGAUAACAUGCCGAAAGGCUUGCUAAUACUGGAUAAUAUCUGUAAGGCACAUGUUUUGCAGAUCAAAGGUGGCCUCUAUAUAUAAGCUACUGUUUGAAGAUGAGCCCGCGUACCAUUAGCUAGUUGGUAGGGUAAUAGCCUACCAAGGCUACGAUGGUUAGCUGGUCUGAGAGGAUGAUCAGCCACACUGGAACUGACACACGGUCCAGACUCCUACGGGAGGCAGCAGUGAGGAAUUUUGCGCAAUGGGGGAAACCCUGACGCAGCAACGCCGCGUGAGUGAUGAAGGCCUUCGGGUCGUAAAGCUCUGUCAAGUGAGAAGAAUAUAUUGUGUGCCAAUAACAUGCAAUACUGACGGUACCACUAAAGGAAGCACCGGCUAACUCCGUGCCAGCAGCCGCGGUAAUACGGGGGGUGCAAGCGUUAUUCGGAAUUAUUGGGCGUAAAGAGCACGUANGCGG
rnacentral:rRNA from 1 species